rnacentral:lncRNA from 1 species
GUGGGGCUUAUUCCGAACACUGAUGCCGGAGAGCCUGGAGUUGUGAUGCCGGUGCCGGUGGUUGGUGUGCCCGUGGUUGGAGUUGUGCCCGUGGUUGGGGUGGUGGGUGUGCCGGUUGGUGUGACCGUGGUUGGGGUGGUUGGGGUGGUGGGUGUGCCGUUGGUGGGUGUACCGGUUGGUGUGCCUGCGGUUGGCGUGCCAGUUCCUGCUUGACUGAACAAAACAGAACAAAAUCAUGUCAGUAUAAUGCACUCAAAUUUUGAAGUUCAUAGGAAAAUAAAUGCAAAUAGAAUCGGUUACAAACUUUUUAUAAAAAAAUGAAACACUAUGAACACUAAACCCACGAUAAACCAAUAUAAAAACUACGGUUUACCAUCCUUUAUUGAUUUCUUAGUAUGCCUCUCGUCUUCCAAUUCUAUUCCAAUUCUAAUUAAAAGUUUGUAACCAGUUCCGUAGAUAUCCCCCGGGUUCGAAACCCCUAAAGAUUAACCAUGGUUUAAAUCAAUGAGAUGAAAUGAAGACGAAAGGGGAAACAGAACUUUUACAUACAUAUUUCUUGACAGCUCACUGUUAUGACUUGAUACAACAGAUCAAGCUAAUACAGUAUUAACUUAAGGGUGGGGAGAUGGAUCUAGUUUUCUUAAUCACUUUCCAAAUAAGCAAAUUAUGAACCCUGAUAUCCAAAAUUACUUUUGCAGCCGUUGUUGCUUAUUCAAUAAACACUUUUCAAAUCUACCAUUUAAGAGAAAAAUUAACAGAAAAAUAAAUUAUGGGGAAAAUUGCAUUCAAUAUAUUGAUAAAAUGCUCAUAAAUUUGCAAAGAUAUGAGAAAUAAAACUCAGCCACCUACCUGGAACUUGCAGGAUAAACACAAGUCGAACUUGCGGCUGGAAAAUCACCAAAAAAAUUAAAAUCAGUGAUUUUUUUAGUAUAAAUAAAUAAAUAUGAAAAAUAAUUGGUAAGAAAUAAGAUUUAGAAUGAAGGAACUUACUACUGGGAGCAGUUUGACUCUGAGUAGCAGCACCUGCAAAAUCACAGCUCUGCGCAGUUUGACCCUUCCUCUGGAAAUAACUGUUGACAGCAUAGCUGCAGUGAUCUUUGACGGUGUUGGGCUGGUAACAGACACCGUUUUGGAGGAUUGGACUGCAGUCAGCUCCAGCUCCGCAGGCAUAGUCCAGUGCCUUCUGAAGUGUUGGA